GCCUGAGGAUGAGUCUGUGGUCUAUCAGGUAGUAUGUGGUGUAAUGGACCACAUAGCCUAAGACGGAUACGGGCCUUGAAAGAGGGAGCCCGGAGAUGGACUCUGAGACACUAGUCCAGGCCCUACGGGGCGCAGCAGGCGCGAAAACUGUACAAUGCGCGAAAGCGCGAUACGGGGAGCCUGAGUGCCUUAACAUUUGUUAAGGCUUUUCACAAGCCUAAAAAGCUUGUGGAAUAAGAACUGGGUAAGACGGGUGCCAGCCGCCGCGGUAACACCCGCGGUUCGAGUGGUAGUCACUUUUAUUGAGCCUAAAGCGUUCGUAGCCGGAUUCGUAAAUCUCUGGGUAAAUCCUGCCGCUUAACGGUGGGAAUGCUGGAGAGACUGCAAGACUGGGGAUCGGGUGAAGCGAGAGGUACUCCUGGGGUAGGGGUAAAAUCCUGUAAUCCUGGGGGGACGACCGGUGGCGAAAGCGUCUCGCUAGAACGACUCCGACGGUGAGGGACGAAGGCUAGGGGAGCAAACCGGAUUAGAUACCCGGGUAGUCCUAGCUGUAAACGCUGCACACUUGGUGUUGCCCCUUCUUUGGGAAAGGGCAGUGCCGGAGCGAAGGUGUUAAGUGUGCCGCUUGGGGAGUAUGGUCGCAAGGCUGAAACUUAAAGGAAUUGGCGGGAGAGCACCGCAACGGGAGGAGCGUGCGGUUUAAUUGGAUUCAACGCC
rnacentral:rRNA from 1 species